rnacentral:rRNA from 1 species
UACGUAGGGCGCAAGCGUUAUCCGGAAUUAUUGGGCGUAAAGAGCUCGUAGGCGGUUUGUCGCGUCUGCCGUGAAAGUCCGGGGCUCAACUCCGGAUCUGCGGUGGGUACGGGCAGACUAGAGUGAUGUAGGGGAGACUGGAAUUCCUGGUGUAGCGGUGAAAUGCGCAGAUAUCAGGAAGAACACCCGUGGCUAAGGCGGCUCUCUAGUACGGUACUGACGCUGAGACGCGAAAGCGUGGGGAGCGAACAGG